rnacentral:rRNA from 1 species
CAAAGGUGAGCCAGUACAGGAUGGACCCGCGUCUGAUUAGCUAGUUGGUAAGGUAACGGCUUACCAAGGCGACGAUCAGUAGCCGACCUGAGAGGGUGAUCGGCCACAUUGGAACUGAGACACGGUCCAAACUCCUACGGGAGGCAGCAGUGGGGAAUAUUGCACAAUGGGCGAAAGCCUGAUGCAGCAACGCCGCGUGAGUGAUGAAGGCCUUCGGGUCGUAAAACUCUGUCCUCAAGGAAGAUAAUGACGGUACUUGAGGAGGAAGCCCCGGCUAACUACGUGCCAGCAGCCGCGGUAAUACGUAGGGGGCUAGCGUUAUCCGGAUUUACUGGGCGUAAAGGGUGCGUAGGCGGUCUUUCAAGUCAGGAGUGAAAGGCUACGGCUCAACCGUAGUAAGCUCUUGAAACUGGGAGACUUGAGUGCAGGAGAGGAGAGUGGAAUUCCUAGUGUAGCGGUGAAAUGCGUAGAUAUUAGGAGGAACACCAGUUGCGAAGGCGGCUCUCUGGACUGUAACUGACGCUGAGGCACGAAAGCGUGGGGAGCAAACAGGAUUAGAUACCCUGGUAGUCCACGCUGUAAACGAUGA